rnacentral:rRNA from 1 species
CACGUAGGCGGAUUGUUAAGUCGGGGGUGAAAUCCUGGAGCUCAACUCCAGAACUGCCUUCGAUACUGGCGAUCUUGGAGUCCGGGAGAGGUGAGUGGAACUGCGAGUGUAGAGGUGAAAUUCGUAGAUAUUCGCAAGAACACCAGUGGCGAAGGCGGCUCACUGGCCCGGUACUGACGCUGAGGUGCGAAAGCGUGGGGAGCAAACA